GAUCAUGGCUCAGGAUGAACGCUGGCGGCGCGCCUAACACAUGCAAGUCGAACGAGAGAGAGGAAGCUUGCUUCCUCAAUCGAGUGGCGAACGGGUGAGUAACGCGUGAGGAACCUGCCUCAAAGAGGGGGACAACAGUUGGAAACGACUGCUAAUACCGCAUAAGCCCACGGCUCGGCAUCGAGCAGAGGGAAAAGGAGUAAUCCGCUUUGAGAUGGCCUCGCGUCCGAUUAG
rnacentral:rRNA from 1 species